AAAUGGGCUUCAGAGUCUGAUGGAUCUGGGUGACUGGGCAAGUUCUUUAGCUUGUCAAACCUUCAUUUCUCUAAUUUAUAACAUAAGGACAGUACCUUCUUCCUGUCAAGGUUGAGGCAAGCAUUAGUGAGAAACGUCUCAAGGCCUGGUUCACAGAACCCUGGGUGGCAGGUACUAUUGGCACCAUUUUCCAGAUAAAGAAAAUGAAGUUCUAAGCAGUCAAAUGACAUGUCAAGAUCACCCAACUGGAAAAGGUGCUUUUACAUGAAAGAUGGUGAUUAGCUGAUCUUUUACCAGAAGGAGAAGA
rnacentral:lncRNA from 1 species